ACUGAGCAUCUGUCUACAGCCUAAAAUUACUGCUUUGUUUGGGGAUUUGUUUGUUUGUUGGUUGGAGUUUUGGUUUGUUACACUGCAGGAUCACUCCUAACUGAUAAUACAAUUAAGAAAGAAACUUCAGAAAAAGAUAACUAAGUCCUACGGCUUUUAAUUCCCUAUUGGGUUUUGGGAAGAAGUAGUUUGUGGCAAACAAGGAAGACAAACCUGGAUCCUUUGCUGCAUCCUUCCUCCUAUUUAAGAAGAUUUGUGAUUCUACAUCUAAAUCCAGCAACUUUCCAUGUGGCCCUGAUUCAGACUAGGAUAAAACCUUCCAUCCAAAGAGGAUCCUGAGGGUCUCAUGAGCACCCAGAACCUGCUAUACCUGUAUUCCCACCAGCACCCGUCAGAGCACUGUUCACCAGAAGAGUUCCCAGGAGGACAGAUACCUUUAUAUAUGGAGCGCCUGAAACAGAAGAUAAAAAAAAAAAGACCACAAAGGAAAGAAUCUGAUUUACAAGUAACUCUGUUCAUUGCAAGGGUUAGACCAGACCCUCAACUGCAGCAGAGCAACACCAUUUAAAUCAGCAAAUGUAUUUCUCCAUCUCUGUCUCACUGAUCCCCCUUUGCAAACACCUACAGUGUCAGGGCUGGGAAGGACCCACCAAGGUUCUCAAGACCAGCACGACCACAUCAUCAAACUUUGCAUAAUUUAUCAAUUUGUGAAGACUCUUCAGGCCCUCCCUACUCAGCAGGCCCAGCAAGGUGACUCUGUUUCACAAGGGCAGCACUUGGAUUUGGAUUGGGUGCUGGAACUUGGCUUUGGGGGCAGAGGACCCUGAUGUGAGUCCUUGGUGUGAAUAUCGUGCUCCAUCCUCCAUGGCAAGAAUAUAACAGGUGUAACAGCAGUCAGGAUGCUGCCAGCAUUUUGUGCUGCAUUGUUCUGUCUGUUCAUUUCUUUGAGUCCUUUUUACUAAGCCUUCAGCAGAAAGGCUGGGCUCUGGAAAGGGCUGCUUGGAUGCUCAUAGUCCUCUUUGUGUGACAUUCCACCCUGUGAAGAGCCCAGGAAGUACAGGCAGUACUUAAAUUUCCACACUCCACUUCCAGUCACCCCUAGAGGCUGAUUCUGCUGUGAUCCUCAGCAGGACAUCUAUGUCUCAAGCCUUGUCCUUCUGUUUACUUGUGUUUGCUUCUGCAUGCUUUGCUCCUGACCUAUUCAAUGUGUUAUUGAGCCCUGCAAUUAUUUUUCCAUUCAUUUUCUCCUUUCCUGACUCAUUUAUCUUGACCUCUUGUGCAUUGAGAUGCACCAUCUAGCCCAGUGUGGUGGAAAGUGGGAAUCUGCUGCCUUUGGAAGCCCUGCGAGCUGGGAACAGUUGUCCCCUGGAUAUGUUGCUCCAGUUCCACUCCAGAGCUUGCUCAUGCAAGAAAGUAAUUUUUGGCCUGCAUUUCUGCAAGAAGAACAAAACAGCCAGCUCAUUUUCUGUCUCCAGGCAGACUUCCCAAAGAUUAUAGGAGGAGGAUGGGCCUAGGGGCUUUCUGGCCUGGAAUGCAACAGACCAUGGGACAAACAAGAACGCUGGCACAGUCAGGUGGCUGAGUGUCCAAAACAGCCCAAAAUUGCUGAGUGCCUCAGCCUACCUGCUCACUGAUGGUCCUCCUGCACCAAACUGCCUCACACCUGGGUCUAACCCCACAGUGCAAACCCAAGGGGCUGCUCUCCCUAAGGGUUUUGCUGCUUCAUUGCUUUGUCUCUGCAUUUUUUAUGAAUUUUUGGGAAAUCUGUAGCAGUGAGAGCUUUGUGCAAACAGGAGUGCACUGCAUGCCCCGAGUGCCUGGGAUGAAACAGCAUGCUCAAAGCCUCCAGCCUGAGCUGCCAGUGUCCUCAGAAGCAUAUCUUAUCCCCACUGGCUCUUUGGGAUUUUAAGGUGGCUGUUCACAGGGAAUCUAGCCUGUCUUUUUUUCCAGCAUUUCUAGUACAGAACAGCAUGUUCUGCUUUCCUUCUGCAGCCAGAGGGGGAAGGAGUUGGAGGAGAUGGAGUGAUGUGGCUUCUGUGAUGCUCUUUUGCCAUUCCCUUUCGUGUCUUGUUUUUUGUUUAGUUGGAAAGGCAAGGCAGGGAUGCUGGCCUUAUGUGAUGAAAAGCAGUUUUGCUAUGAGGUAACAAAAACUACUACCCAAAAGGAAGAUUGGAACAAUGGUGAAAGAUUGGAGUUUCAAUUUCCAAAAAUUGAAAGAUGUGCCAAGAGCUAUCAAGUCCUUGUUGUCAGACAGAUGGUCUGUCUGGUAACAUGUCAAUCUUUUCCUAAGAUAUUGAGGUUCACUUCAGCAAAAGGAAGGGUCCCAAAAUAUUUCCCUAAAAUGACAGCACAAACCAGCAGAAACAGCCAGUGAAUUCAUCAAUCUCAACAUUUAUUUUGAGCCUGAAUGCAAUAUUCCUGGAGAACCCAAAUAAGGAAACAAUUAUAAAGAAAGCUCAAAAUAUAACACUCCUCUCUUCAGGCCUUGUGUGAUGUAAACUGAAUAAAAGUUCCUAAUGGAAAAAAGAACAGCAGCAAAUUCUUGAAAGGACAGACCACCUGCAACUCCGGCUUCAUGGAAAAAGGGAUGGAGGUUCUCAGCAUUUCAUCGGAGUCAAGCCAGGAUGGGGAAAUGUUGUGAGCUGUGUCCGUCCUCCAGCCCUUCUGCUUCUCCAGCACUGUCUCUGCCUCGACAAGUUGCUUUGUGACUGUGAGCCUUCCUCAGAGAAGCUGCCACUGACCUGGCUGCUGCUGCCUGAGAGCACAGGACUACAGAGAGAACACUGCUUUUCUGUUCUCUCACCCUGUCAGAUCCCCUUGGCCAGAGGACGUGGAUCUGGCCAGCUUCCAGAGAGUGAAUGUGGUGAUAAGGAAAAGCAGAGAGACUUUGGAAGACAAAGAUAUACUGUUACACUGGGCACCAGCAAGGAAGAACAUUAUCUUACGGAAAUUGUAUCUGAGUAAGCUCUGUAUUACCAGGAAACUUGGCAACAAUGAUGUCCAACCAUUCUGGUGCUGGGGCAGACCUGUCAGCCCCAAAUGACCUUGCUGGUGUAAAAGAAAGACCAGGCCCAUCUUUAUCACCACUGACCUUCAGAGGAAAACUGCACCCUUCUCCAGGAUCACUGCUUCAACAGAAUCACAUCUGUCACUGCAGGAGGAUGCAGCCACCAUUUAAUGGGACUACUGCCAACACCCUGAUUGAUGGAGUAUCAGGUUGUAUUCUGACUCUGUCAGUGUUUUGUUCUUUUGUAUUACUGUAUAUUUUUUAAAU